rnacentral:rRNA from 1 species
CAAUAGCGUAUAUUAAAGUUGUUGCAGUUAAAAAGCUCGUAGUUGGAUCUCUGGCAGGAGCGACCGGUCACACACUCUGUGUGUGAACUUGUGUUGUCUCUGGCCAUCCUUGGGGAGAUCCUGUUUGGCAUUAAGUUGUCGGGCAGGGGACAUCCAUCGUUUACUGUGAAAAAAUUAGAGUGUUUAAAGCAGGCUUAUGCCGUUGAAUAUAUUAGCAUGGAAUAAUAAGAUAGGACUUCGGAACUAUUUUGUUGGUUUGCGUUACGAAGUAAUGAUUAAUAGGGACAGUUGGGGGUAUUCGUAUUUCGUUGUCAGAGGUGAAAUUCUUGGAUUUCCGAAAGACGAACUACUGCGAAAGCAUUUACCAAGGAUGUUUUCAUUAA